UUCAGGCCUAACACAUGCAAGUCGAACGAGAAACUCCGCGGCUUGCUCGGAGGAGUAAAGUGGCGAACGGGUGAGUAACGCGUGAGUAACCUGCCCCUGAAUCCGGGAUAACUUCGCGAAAGCGUUGCUAAUACCGGAUAUUGUUCGCGGGGCUGUGGCUCUGCGGAUGAAAGAUGACCUCUCCGUGGAAGUUGUUGUUUGGGGAGGGGCUCGCGUACCAUUAGCUUGUUGGUGGGGUAAUGGCCCACCAAAGCGACGAUGGUUAGCUGGUCUGAGAGGAUGAUCAGCCACACUGGCACUGAAACACGGGCCAGACUCCUACGGGAGGCAGCAGUGAGGAAUUUUGCGCAAUGGGGGAAACCCUGACGCAGCAACGCCGCGUGAGUGAAGAAGGCCUUCGGGUCGUAAAGCUCUGUCAAGUGGGAAAAAAAUCUUUCGGUCAAUAGCCGGAAGGCUUGAUGGUACCACUAGAGGAAGCACCGGCUAACUCCGUGCCAGCAGCCGCGGUAAUACGGAGGGUGCUAGCGUUGUUCGGAAUUACUGGGCGUAAAGAGCGUGUAGGCGGUUUGGCAAGUCAGAUGUGAAAGCCCUGGGCUCAACCCAGGAAGUGCAUUUGAAACUGCUAUUCUAGAGUAUGGGAGAGGAGAGUGGAAUUCUCGGUGUAGAGGUGAAAUUCGUAGAUAUCGGGAGGAACACCCGUGGCGAAGGCGACUCUCUGGACCAAUACUGACGCUGAGAUGCGAAAGCGUGGGGAGCAAACAGGAUUAGAUACCCUGGUAGUCCACGCCGUAAACGAUGAGCACUAGGUGUAGCGGGUAUUGACCCCUGCUGUGCCGUAGCUAACGCAUUAAGUGCUCCGCCUGGGGAGUACGGCCGCAAGGCUAAAAACUCAAAGGAAAUUGACGGGGGGCCCGCACAAGCGGUUGGAGCAUGUUGGUUCCAAUUCGACGCAA
rnacentral:rRNA from 1 species